UGGCGAACGGGUGAGUAAUAUAUCGGAACGUGCCCAGUCUGGGGAUAACGUAGCGAAAGUUACGCUAAUACCGCAUACGAUCUAAGGAUGAAANCGGGGGACUCGCAAGAGCCUCGCGCGAUUGGAGCGGCCGAUAUCAGAUUAGGUAGUUGUGGGGUAAAGGCUCACCAAGCCAACGAUCUGUAGCUGGUCUGAGAGGACGACCAGCCACACUGGAACUGAGACACGGUCCAGACUCCUACGGGAGGCAGCAGUGGGGAAUUUUGGACAAUGGACGCAAGUCUGAUCCAGCCAUUCCGCGUGCAGGAUGAAGGCCCUCGGGUUGUAAACUGCUUUUGUACGGAACGAAAAGGUUUCUAUUAAUACUAGGAGCUCAUGACGGUACCGUAAGAAUAAGCACCGGCUAACUACGUG
rnacentral:rRNA from 1 species